rnacentral:rRNA from 1 species
UACGGAGGGUGCGAGCGUUGUCCGGAAUCACUGGGCGUAAAGGGCGCGUAGGCGGCGCGGGGAGUCAACGGUGAAAGCUCGGCGCUCAACGCCGAGUCGGCCGUCGAUACUCCCGUGCUUGAGCACUGUAGAGGCAGGUGGAAUUCCGGGUGUAGCGGUGGAAUGCGUAGAGAUCCGGAAGAACACCGGUGGCGAAGGCGGCCUGCUGGGCAGUAGCUGACGCUGAGGCGCGACAGCGUGAGGAGCAAACAGG